rnacentral:misc_RNA from 1 species
GAACGCACAUUGCGCCCCUUGGUAUUCCGAGGGGCAUGCCUGUUCGAGCGUCAUUUCACCACUCAAGCCUGGCUUGGUAUUGGGCGCCGCGGUCAAUCCGCGCGCCUCAAAGUCUCCGGCUGAGCUGUCCGUCUCUAAGCGUUGUGAUCUCAUUAAUCGCUUCGGAGUGCGGGCGGCCGCGGCCGUUAAAUCUUUCAAAGGUUGACCUCGGAUCAGGUAGGGAUACCCGCUGAACUUAAG